rnacentral:piRNA from 1 species
CUGAGGGACAGGAGUUUAGCCAUCUU